rnacentral:misc_RNA from 1 species
AAAAUAAAAAUAAAAAAAGGAAAACAUAAGAAUUUUCGAAAGUUUAAAUUUCAAAUAUCAAGACAAAUAAAUAAACAGAAAGUGCUAUAAUCAACAAGAAAGUACAAGAAGAUCAGAAAACAAGAAAAGCCGCUGAUAGUAUCCCAUGCAAUUUACCAAUGGGUAUCCACCGCAUUUAGAGUGCCUGUUGUUAAAUUAGACAAUACAGUCAUCACGAACUCAAAUGAAAUACAUCAUUGAGGAAAAAAAGAGUUCACAUGUCAGCCGUCUCGAAAGAAUUCUGUCUGCGAUGAUUUCUAAUUUUUUUUCUUUUUCCUUUUGUCCACUACCCAGGUUUCUAAUUAGGAAUGUUUAAUAUAUGGUGCUCUUUCUGAGAUAUGUAGAGAUGAUUACCACAUGCAUCAAAGAAAGAAAAAUGCGAGAAAAAAGAAAUUAAUAAAUGAAACCGCAAAUGACAAACUGAGGUGCACAAAAGAAGCAAGCAUUAGCAGCAAAACCCACAACGAAAAAGAAGGGGGAAAAAAGAGCGAAAGAACAAGGUAGGGUAGGAUAAUAAAAAUCUUAAGCCUUCAUUGAAAAGCACUGAUGACUAUUGAAGAAUGCAAACACUUGAAUAUGAAAAUUUUAAAAUAACAAUAAUGCACAUGACAUCGUCAAAACAUUUGUUUAACAAAUUCUAUGGCCCCCGCAAUAAAUCAAAUAGGCAUUCCUGAGAAUCAAUAAAAACUUAAAAUUCCAGAUAUUAAAAAAAUAAUAAUAAAAUUAUUUAGCUCCUAGCUCCUAAGACCUAAGAAGAGCUAAAAUUUUCCACAAUCAAUUUUCCUUUUGAUAAUUCAUUAACAAACAAUUGAGAUGAGCUCAUUACGUGAACUCAAAAGCCACUGCUACUUUCAGAUUCAAACCCAAUAAACAAACGAGGAAGUAGCUAGCUCAAAACGACAAUUUAG